UACGAAGGGGGCUAGCGUUGCUCGGAAUGACUGGGCGUAAAGGGCGCGUAGGCGGGAUGGCACAGAUCAGAUGUGAAAUUCCCCGGGCUUAACCUGGGGGCUGCAUUUGAUACGUGUUGUCUUGAGUUCGGAAGAGGGUCGUGGAAUUCCCAGUGUAGAGGUGAAAAUUCGUAGAUAUUGGGAAGAACACCGGUGGCGAAGGCGGCGACCUGGUCCGACACUGACGCUGAGCGCGAAAGCGUGGGGAGC
rnacentral:rRNA from 1 species